CCGUGAGGACAAAGUUGCAGGUAGAUGCCAUAGUCAACGCUGUUGCCUGCUCUCCUAAAGCGGGUGUCGCAGGUUCGAAUCCUGCCGGGGGCACCA
rnacentral:tRNA from 1 species